rnacentral:tRNA from 1 species
UCCCUGGUGGCUCAGAGGGUAAAGCAUCUGCCUGCAAUGCGGGAGACCCUGGUUGGAUCCCUGGGUUGGGAA